rnacentral:other from 20 species
ACGGUUAUAAAUCAACAUAUUGAUUUAUAAGCAUGGAAAUCCCCUGAGUGAAACAACGAAUUGCUGUGUGUAGUCUUUGCCCAUCUCCCACGAUGGGCUUUUUUUUGU